AACGAACGCUGGCGGCGCGCCUAAUACAUGCAAGUCGAGCGAGAAGACGUAGCAAUACGUUUGUAAAGCGGCGAACGGGUGAGGAAUACAUGGGUAACCUACCCUCGAGUGGGGAAUAACUAGCCGAAAGGUUAGCUAAUACCGCGUACGCUCCUUGGACUUCGGUUCAGGGAGGAAAGCGAUACCGUGGGUAUCGCGCUCUUGGAUGAGCUCAUGUCCUAUCAGCUUGUUGGGAGGUAACGGCUCACCAAGGCUUCGACGGGUAGCUGGUCUGAGAGGACAAUCAGCCACACUGGCACUGCGACACGGGCCAGACUCCUACGGGAGGCAGCAGUAAGGAAUAUUGCGCAAUGGGCGAAAGCCUGACGCAGCGACGCCGCGUGGGGGAUGAAGGUC
rnacentral:rRNA from 1 species